UCGCAAGACCAAAGUGGGGGACCUUCGGGCCUCAUGCCAUCAGAUGUGCCCAGAUGGGAUUAGCUAGUAGGUGGGGUAACGGCUCACCUAGGCGACGAUCCCUAGCUGGUCUGAGAGGAUGACCAGCCACACUGGAACUGAGACACGGUCCAGACUCCUACGGGAGGCAGCAGUGGGGAAUAUUGCACAAUGGGCGCAAGCCUGAUGCAGCCAUGCCGCGUGUGUGAAGAAGGCCUUCGGGUUGUAAAGCACUUUCAGCGGGGAGGAAGGCGGUGAGGUUAAUAMCCUCAUCGAUUGACGUUACCCGCAGAAGAAGCACCGGCUAACUCCGUGCCAGCAGCCGCGGUAAUACGGAGGGUGYAAGCGUUAAUCGGAAUUACUGGGCGUAAAGCGCACGCAGGCGGUCUGUCAAGUCGGAUGUGAAAUCCCCGGGCUCAACCUGGSAACUGCAUUCGAAACUGGCAGGCUAGAGUCUUGUAGAGGGGGGUAGAAUUCCAGGUGUAGCGGUGAAAUGCGUAGAGAUCUGGAGGAAUACCGGUGGCGAAGGCGGCCCCCUGGACAAAGACUGACGCUCAGGUGCGAAAGCGUGGGGAGCAAACAGGAUUAGAUACCCUGGUAGUCCACGCCGUAAACGAUGUCGAUUUGGAGGUUGUGCCCUUGAGGCGUGGCUUCCGGAGCUAACGCGUUAAAUCGACCGCCUGGGGAGUACGGCCGCAAGGUUAAAACUCAAAUGAAUUGACGGGGGCCCGCACAAGCGGUGGAGCAUGUGGUUUAAUUCGAUGCAWCGCGAAGAACCUUACCUGGUCUUGACAUCCACAGAACUUUCCAGAGAUGGAUUGGUGCCUUCGGGAACUGUGAGACAGGUGCUGCAUGGCUGUCGUCAGCUCGUGUUGUGAAAUGUUGGGUUAAGUCCCGCAACGAGCGCAACCCUUAUCCUUUGUUGCCAGCGGUYCGGCCGGGAACUCAAAGGAGACUGCCAGUGAUAAACUGGAGGAAGGUGGGGAUGACGUCAAGUCAUCAUGGCCCUU
rnacentral:rRNA from 1 species